GUUUUAUGUUUACCUUGUCUUGUGCCAUGGAAGUAACUUCAAAUGUCUCACUGUUCUUAUUAUAAGAUGCCAUGGUCAACUAUCUAAAUCUUUAUCCGACGUAUCUGUAUAUCAGCUCAACACUUCGGGGAACCAAGAAUUAACCUUACUUGAUUCGGCUCCGCUGUGCUGCCUGUGUUAAUUAACUAUCAAUUAUAAUUAAAAU